AUUGAACGCUGGCGGCAGGCCUAACACAUGCAAGUCGAGCGAGCGGCGGACGGGUGAGUAAUGUCUGGGGACUGCCCGAUAGAGGGGGCUAACUACUGGAAACGGUGGCUAAUACCGCAUACUAACGGAUAACCCAUAUGGGAUUAGCUAGUAGGUGGGGUAAAGGCUCACCUAGGCGACGAUCUCUAGCUGGUCUGAGAGUAUGAUCAGCCACUCGUGGCCUGAGACACGGCCCAGACUCCUACGGAGGCAGCAGUGUGGAAUAUUGCACAAUGGGCGCAAGCCUGAUGCAGCCAUGCCGCGUGUAUGAAGAAGGCCUUAGGGUUGUAAAGUACUUUCAGCGGGGAGGCGUUACCCGCAGAAGAAGCACCGGCUAACUCCGUGCCAGCAGCCGCGGUAAUAC
rnacentral:rRNA from 1 species